UACAUAAAAGGGAAAUGUAAUAACAUCGCUGACUUUUUGAGGACGAAAUAAACCUAAUGGAAAUUGAAUCCACCAAUGAUGAAGAAAACAGAUCCCUAGCAGCUCAAAUUCAUUCUAAAGAAGAGGAUCAGGAAAAGAAACUCGAAACACCGUACAGGUGUUCGACAACAAGAGCAAGAAAGACGUAGAAGACAACCAAGCAAUAAACAUUCUCCGACGGGAAAUAACAACAGGAAAAAUAGGAGUUUUUUCACAUCUAAGUGACCAUGAAUUCUACCAAUUACAAAAAAUAAUAGCAAAGGAAUACACUUCCAGCCCAAAAAUAAAAUUUGUAAAGUGCACUAGGUUAUUUACGGAUAUCGAGUCUGAAGAUGAACUACAUACCCAAAUAGCCUUAUUUCACAAAAACGAAAGUGGCCAUUGCGGGAUAGUUGCCACUUAUCAGAAGCUUAAGCUCGAAAUUUACCACCCCGACCUUAAGACCCAUAUCCAUAGAAUAAUCAAUAACUGUGAUGUUUGUAGUGGUGGGAAAUAGGAUUGAAAACCCAU